AGUAGUUAGUAGUCGUUAAAAGUCUAGGCAGAGGGUAUUUGUGUGCUUGAAACAGAUGCCAAGAGCGUAAGCUUAAUUUAACGUAUCGUACUUUAAUAGAAAGUUUAAGGCUUGGAAAAUUUACUGUGUAAUUAUGAUUAUAAUUAAUAUCUACGACACGACUAACCAGUUUCAUAUUGCCGGGGUGCCAGCUGGAAAAAAAGAGCACGAGAAUUCUAUCGCUGAGAUGGGUAGAAGAAGAAGAAGGAGAAGGGGAUAAACAACUUGCGUAUAUUACACAUUUAUAAGACAGUAAUAGUGAGAUAAUAGUGAGGAAAGACAAUAUAAUAAAUAAACGAGCUUUAUAUACUUAUAACUUUCAAAACCAGUAGAGUGUGAAGCGUUUACGUGCACUAACCAAGCCAUACGUCAGUAACAAUAACCAGACACCGCGUACCAGAGACUACACUGCAUUCGAACAUAAAUAAAUCUCAAGCUAGUUUGAUAAAACAAUGUUUAUGCUUUUGAGGCAUCAGGAGUACUAAUGUUUUGAGAGUAUUUGUAUUUCAUGAUUGGUAAAAUGAUCAGUUGAUCUUAAAACAGUUAUUUAGUGACAAGUAACGUCAUUUUACAAGGUUUUUUGGCUAUAGAUGAAAAUAACGGAUAUUUAUAGGAUAAUUGACACUCGAAAUGAAAAAUCAAUGAUCUCUUUUUCAG